rnacentral:rRNA from 1 species
ACCGACAGCAAUAUGAAGGCCAGGCUGAAGACUUUGCCGGAUUAGCUGAGAGGUGGUGCAUGGCCGUCGUCAGUUCGUACUGUGAAGCAUCCUGUUAAGUCAGGCAACGAGCGAGACCCACGCCCACAGUUGCCAGCGUGCUCUCUGGAGUGACGGGUACACUGUGGGACCGCCGCUGCUAAAGCGGAGGAAGGAAUGGGCAACGGUAGGUCAGUAUGCCCCGAAUAUCCCGGGCUACACGCGAGCUACAAUGGUUGGUACAAUGGGUAUCUACCCCGAAAGGGGACGGGAAUCUCCUAAAACCAAUCUUAGUUCGGAUUGAGGGCUGCAACUCGCCCUCAUGAAGCUGGAAUCCGUAGUAAUCGCGUUUCAACAGAACGCGGUGAAUACGUCCCUGCUCCUU